AUUGAACGCUGGCGGCAUGCCUAACACAUGCAAGUCGAACGGCAGCACGGGAGCUUGCUCCUGGUGGCGAGUGGCGGACGGGUGAGUAAUGCAUAGGAAUCUGCCCAGUAGCGGGGGACAACUUGGGGAAACUCAAGCUAAUACCGCAUGCGCCCUACGGGGGAAAGCGGGGGACCUUCGGGCCUCGCACUAUUGGAUGAGCCUAUGUCAGAUUAGCUUGUUGGUGGGGUAACGGCCUACCAAGGCGACGAUCCGUAGCUGGUCUGAGAGGACGAUCAGCCACACUGGGACUGAGACACGGCCCAGACUCCUACGGGAGGCAGCAGUGGGGAAUAUUGCACAAUGGGCGAAAGCCUGAUGCAGCAAUGCCGCGUGUGUGAAGAAGGCCUGCGGGUUGUAAAGCACUUUCAGUAGGGAGGAACAGUAGCCGGUAAUAUCGUUGCCUUGACGUUACCUACAGAGGAAGCACCGGCUAACUCUGU
rnacentral:rRNA from 1 species